UGAAAAUGUCAUAGUUCUGUAAACCUUGUGGUCGGAGGCGGGAGCCUUCGUUUAAAGGAACCGGGUGAGAAGCCGGACUGUUAAUCCCAGCCGUAAUGGGGACGAGGAAGCCAUGGAUGCCACUGGAGCAAUAGCUCCGGGAAGGCGGCUUCAGUAGGAAGAACCAGAGUCGGAACACAAUACAUGAGGGAGGAAUCGGGA
rnacentral:ncRNA from 19 species